AACGAACGCUGGCGGCACGCCUAACACAUGCAAGUCGAACGGAAUUUAAGUUUUCGGAUUUAAAUUUAGUGGCGGACGGGUGAGUAACGCGUGGGAACCUGCCUUGCAGUAAGGGAUAACGCCGGGAAACCGGUGCUAAUACCGUAUACGCCCUUCGGGGGAAAGAUUUAUCGCUGUAAGAUGGGCCCGCGUAAGAUUAGGUAGUUGGUAGGGUAAUGGCCUACCAAGCCUUUGCGCUUUAGCUGGUUUGAGAGGAUGACCAGCCACACUGGGACUGAGACACGGCCCAGACUCCUACGGGAGGCAGCAGUGGGGAAUAUUGGACAAUGGGGGAAACCCUGAUCCAGCGAUGCCGCGUGAGUGAAGAAGGCCUUCGGGUUGUAAAACUCUUUCACCUGUGACGAUGAUGACGGUAGCAGGAGAAGAAGCACCGGCUAACUCCGUGCCAGCCGCCGCAGUAA
rnacentral:rRNA from 1 species